CACCUAAGAGCAGUUCUUGAGUCCUCUCCACAUGAUGCCUGUUGUGCCCAGUUUAUUCAUUCCCUCUCUUCUGGCCCUUCCAAGAAAUCUCAAGUUGUGUACUCAAUUUCCCAGAAUCCCCUCCGUUUGGUAGAUUGUGUGAUGAGCACUUUAGUUUUGGUGGUUGUCCAGCAGGUACAUCUCAUUAUCUUUUGGAAUCUUGUGGUGUUGGCAACAGAUUUUAUGAUGACGUGAAAGAGUACAGAAGGGGGCUCAGCACCCUACCCUUGCCGGUUCACCCGUCUGCACAUGCUGAGAUUAACUUUGUGGCAUAGAAGAUGGGAGUUUUUUUCUCCAGACCUCUUCAUAGUUGCAUCCUUUUGAGUUUUUGUUCUGAAACAGUACGUUUUUGGGGGUCUGUUUAGUUUGCAAGUCAAUCCUUUCACUUCUCGUCCUGUUUUUCUAUUGUAUCCUAGUGCAUUGUGCAAUUCCAGUCUUCCCUGUUCUUUCCUAACAUCAGCGUGGCUCCUAUUACAGCAGUUGCUUGAAGUCCUGGCAUGUGUUGACUUGAUGGCCGUCUCACUUUGAUUACUUAGUGCAUCUCAAUGCAAGUGUGUAGGGCUGCUGUUUCACAGUAUGAUUGACGGUUCUGCAAAUCCCCUGGCAUUAUGAAUGUAUUAACAGUCCAUAACCUUAAUGCCCGAGAUUGAAUCUUUGACUUCAUUUCAUGUCGAGUGCAUAUUGGGAUUUGGAAAGGACUUCCCGGCCAGUCUAGUCCCAGGGACAUCUUAUUGAUCUCCUUAUUUAAUCGCUUGAUCUUUUAUUAUUCUGUCAUGUGAACAUUCCUGAACGAUUCCAAACUACUCCUGUCAUUCUCCGAUCAUUCACCCUGCUCUGUGAGGUUUGCCCUUUUUAUUUUAUCCCACUAUGACAAUGAAUGAAGUAGAUGGGAGCAAAUGACACUGCAUGCUGAAAGAUGGUGUUAAGUUUCUAGUGUCCUUUUAUUGGAUUGUCUAUGCUAUGUGGGGGUUACUGUGGGGCUUCUAGCCUUGCUAUGAUUUUUUUUUUCACUCUUUUUCUAGGUGGUGUGGUUCUUUACCUUCUGAUAGUGCAAGUCUUUCAUUGUGUCAUUUGUUUCAGUCUACUCCAUUUUUUGUUUGAUUUUAAAAUACUUCAUUUCUCUUUGGGGAUUAAUCUUUUUAUGACCGAGGGGGGGUGGUCAGCCAUAUUACAGCAACCCUGGAACAAUUUUCAGGUUAAGGGCCCAGUGGAGUAGAAGCCUUACUGGCAGGAACGGCACUUGAACCUGCAACCUUCCAGAUGGCCUACGUCUCCGAGACGCCAUUGUGGAUUGUCCUUGUAAGGAAACAAUUGGGGGAGCAAACGCAGGGAGAGGUGAAUUGGUAAGAAAAUGACAAUACAGACGAGGCUGUCCUCCUAAAUGUCCAGCGAUGGCCUUUUAAUUAUUAAAGACGCCCAGUCCUUACAAGUCAAAGGGAUACGUAGAGCUGUGAACAGCAAAAGUGAAGUGAGAUUCACAAAGUAAUCGCGGCUUUUAAGUUCAAUAUCCGGCAAAAGAGCUGCUGCUGUAAACAUUUUGACUUGUCUCAUCUAAUUGUAUACAUUUUGAAAAGUUUAUUUAAUAGGGACGCAUGCAAGCACAAUGUUGGAAGUCAGGAACUGGAAAGGAAAGAUUUGGAAGUCAAACUCGGGUUGUUUAAUCUGGAGGUGGCCCCCCAGUUACUGUUAAGAGUCAUCCAUAGUGUGUGUAGAAGUGGGGAGCCAAAAAAAUGAGACACGCCUUAAGACUUAAACUAUAAGAUCUGCAGAUGUCAAGUGACCUUUACACCACAUUAGGGGUCUUAAGAUGAGUUUAACGCAAAAUCCAUUUUGUUUAUAAUGGUGGAGUUUAAGUAGAGCUAGUAAUGUGGGAGUUUUAAUGUUGCUGCUCCUUUUCCUUUGGUAGUAAAAGUUCUCUGAGCAUAACUCUAAAGUGUUAGCCAGUUAAAAACCAAUUUGUUUUUGUAAAAUUUAAAACCAUUUCAUUUAAUUGAUUUACUAUUCUGCCAACCAAUGGGCAGCCUAGAACUUCAAUGCUAAACUCGUUUCCUCUGUAGGUGGGUGAUACUUUUUGUCCCUGAGGUGAGGUUUAAUUUUACAGAAGCUGUGCGUGUGUGUGCGAGAUCCAACAGCCGCCACCUGAAGCCCAUGUGAGCACUUGUGGCCGCCGCUGCUGUCAGUGACAGGCUUGUAAGAGGAGGUCCAGCACCUCACGUGCCAGUGGUCCCAGUGCUCGGUGGAUUUGUCUCUGUAUGUUCCGCCAUUGUAGUCCUCUAUCGGUGAGCUUGUAUCUGCAGUCAUGAUGUGGAGUAACAUUCUUCUCCCGUUGCGUUUGUCUCCUGACCUUAAGGCCUUUCAUAAAUGUUUUCACAAGCGCUUUUCAGCUUGAUAAUUGGUUAUGAAUAUUGCCAGCCCUGCAUUGACCCUGCAGGGUCCCCUCAUGUGCCACCUGAAUACCUUGGCCAGGAAUUGCUGUUUAUAAUUGACUGGCAGAUAUUUACAGAAAUAAGAUUGGAUCGUCUGCGACUGCAGGAGGCCUCCCUGCAUGUGUAAGUUUGUGCCUGGCAGAUUGAAACGGAUUUCCAAACCCAUCAGCCCUUUUUGGAAUCGUGGAAGAUGAGUGCAAUUUGAGGGUAAGUCUAAGUGUAUGAAUCUAGAUGACCGAAGUGGACUCUUGAACAUGGCACCUCUAGUCCCACAGAUGGCAAGGGUGGAAGAUCAUGUGUGCAUUAUAGAAGGAUUUGUCAUACAGCAGUUUGCAGAAGGCAGUAAUGUGAAAGGCAGUGAUCCUGCAGUUAAACCAGUCUGACUCGGACUCUGUGGCCGACUUCAUCAUUUGCAGUCAUUCCUCAUGAAGUUCUCGUCACCCUCGGAAAAGCCUUCAGCAGACGUCCAGGAUCCUCCCAUGAUCACCUUUUAACAGGCUGGCAGAGCUACUUCUAUCAAUGAGUUUCCAAGUAAUGAGGUUGACUUUUGCAAGCAAGCAUUGUGGAUGAGGAGUUUCUUCAUACUCGUCUCCUGUUCACUGGGCUAAUCAAUCUACUUGAAGAGGAACCCCAGAAAUGGAACCCAUGUCCUGCUGCUCAUCUCACUCCACCUGGAUUCUCUCGUACAGGUCAUUCAUUUCCCAAUUUGACAAACUGGUCCUUCUACAGGAGCCUCUCUUCCUAGCCCUACCUUGAUCUCCUUCUGUUGAACACAUAACUACAAGUUCUUGGCCUGUAGCAAACUUCAGAGGAGAGCCAAAGUCCACAGCAAGCUGUUUGUAAUGUGACUGGAGUGGCUGUGUCCCUUGUAAAUACACCACCACCACCAAUACCCUUGUAUGUAGUCUUUGUGGCAAAUUCAGCACUAAAAGGGCCUCUUGCCAGGCUAAAGUCUCAUUCACUGUAUUUAUGUAGGAAGCACCCACUGAGGGGAAGUGGGGUGUCGGUGGCAGCUAAUGGAUCAGACCUCGCAGAGGAGGAGUUAUUGUAGAACUCCUCCGCAUAGCCACACUGGUCUGUUUGUGUUCUUUCACAGCCCCUUUUCAAAGACCAGGAGAAGAUUCGCUCCUUCUCACCUCGGGGACUCCUAUUUCUCCAGGUCUCUUAAUCUCGUCCUUUAUCACCGCAGGUUCUUCAUGGCUGCUCUCACUCCUUUCAUCUGCCCUGGCUUUGUUCCUUCCUUCCUUCCUCCUAGAUUUGUUACCUGUUUGACGCUUUAACUCCAUGGCCUUGAAAUGUUGUCAAUCCUGGGGCUGUGGAGGCCGCUUUCCUUCUGCUGGUCCAGACUCAGCCUGUCUGAUGGAAUUCUUGGGGAUUUUCCCUCACUUAUUUGUUUUCCAUUUCUAGCAUCGUGCAGUGCUGAUUUUAUUUCGUAAUCCUUCUCCUUUUCACCUUUUGAAAGUCCAGUGUCGGCUUUUCAGGGAGUUGUCACCUAAAUAAAUGCAGUGGUUGCGUAACGAGUUUGUAAGUCAAGGUUAUGAUGCACAUUCAUUUUGUUUUAUUAGGUUUAGGUUGUUGGGUCAUGUGACAGUGGUUUGUCACCAGACUAAUUCUAGUAUAAAUGUUGCCCACCACAAAAGUAGUCCACAUCCACCAGUAUGAACUGGUUCUCACAGAACUUUUGUCUCUCGCUAGCACUGCCUGCGAUUUCUGCCUUGUGUUGGUAUCUCCUGGCCUUUCCUGUCGCUUGAACUCUUGUCUCAUAGCCGCUGUUUGGAGCACUGGCUGUGGCCGUGGACCCUCGGCAAAAUAAACGUUUGUAGUUGGUCUGUUAGUAAUACGGGUAGAGUGGAGUUUGAAUUGUGUGGCUAUGAUGUAGACUUAGUUGGAUGGAGUGCCAUUCAGUCGUGAUUUGUUCCAGGGUGUGUGGUUUUUUUUAUUUUUCAAAAGUCCUCUUUAGUGAGGUUGAAGUCUGUAUUCUACUAUCCAUUGUCUAGGUGACUUUUUUUUUUUUUAGUGCUUUUGUCAUAUCCAACUUUAAUUUGGAACGAGUAAGAUAUAACUUCUAGUUGGUCAUUUUUGAUUUCUGUGGCCUGUUGUAUCUAUUAAUGUCCACUAGGUGGGGCUGACGUCCCAUUUCUUAAAGCACAAAAGGGCCAUUGGGAAGAGUUAAAGCCAAAUUAAUGCUAAAGAUUUAAAUAAAUUUAUUCUGGUCUUGGGUUAUUGAGCCAGUUAAAGCCCACCAACCAGUGCACGGCUCAGAGAUCUGAAUCUUAAUGGCGACCUUUCAGGGCCCUAGGGUCACCAUUUCCUUUAGAUCUCUCGCCCCAUGCCUGGUGAGGGAGAAUGUGGCUGCCCAGACCUGGCACUAGUGCCAGGAUGUCGAUGUCCAGGUAAAGUGAAGGAUAGAUUGCCACACUUGUAUUCAAGGGUUGGUUGAAUUUCUUGGAAGACAGUGCAGUAGAAAAGGACCCCCUGCUAGUGAAGACUGGAAAUGGAGGAAUCUCCUGACUUGGAUUGAGCUGUGUGAAGGAUGAAGAGUAAAGGGCAAAGAAAAUGGUGUAGCGGAGACGCAGACAGAUGAGGUUUAAAUGACAGAACCAGAGGAAAAGAGGCAGUUUGGAGUCCACCUAUAUAAACCGGGCAGUGUCGUCACAAGAACAGGUCUUUAAUAAAGUAGUAGUGGCUUUCAUAAAUAUGCCAUAACAUAUCCGUGAUGGUCCUGGGGGCUCGUCACUCCUGAAGGAUUUCAGCAUUGGGAUUCUAAAGCGUCGGAUCCCCUGGACUAGCUGAUGGCUUUCGGCAGGCGCUUUUCUCCAAAGCAAGUUAACGCUAUCCUGUUAAUUCUGCAAGAGUAACCGGACAGGUGGAGUUCUCUCCUGUAACUAAAAAAUACAAGAUUAACAGUACAAAUAUUUCAAUUUGUGGUUUUGAACUUAUUUUGAGUGAAUUCCAAAAUGAGCUGGCUUUGUAAGAACACUUAAACUGUUGUCAGAGCGAGCGUCUGGCUUACGUAGGCUUGUAAGAGUUGGAUUUGCAUCGCUGGAGGAGUCCAGUAGAUUCCGAUUUGAAACAUUGUGUACUCCUGGGGUGUUCUGUUUGGCCAAAUGUGUCCCUUUUUUAUGGUGUGCCCCAUCUUUAAGGCUUUCAGUGUGAAGUCCGACUUGCCAGUCUGUAAAAACCACCUUUUGUGCCGAGUGCUCCGACUUGUCUGGCGUGUGCAUUUGAGAGGUCGUGGACUGCUUUUUGAAAUGCUAAGCUUGACUCCGCAGUUUCGAGCAAAAGCUUUUCCAGACAGGAGUUUGCUGUUCUCUUUCUGUCUUCACUUUUAUCACGUGUCACUGUGCUGAGCGAUGGCAUUACUGAAACUUGAAAAGAGAACUGGCAAUAUCUGCAAUUUAUUAAAAUAUUGAUUUACGUUUUAGAUUUUUUUGUUCUUUCCAGGAUGGAGACAAGGGGCCUGCCGUCCUACUUAAUCUUGUGUAGUUACCUAACUCCUGGUGGCCAGUGAGGUGGAUGAAAGGCCUUCAUUAUUGCAACUUUUAUCCUGUUAUGGAAUUAAACAAGUGUGUCUGUCUCCUUGGAGGAGGAGAUGCACCCAAUGAGCUGUGAGCAGCUGUCCCAUUCCAGUGAGGCAGUUGACGUUACUCAAAUUGUUGUUCCCACUAUUGUGACAUUUGGCCAUACUAACUGAACAAAGGCCACUGGAAAGCCUAAACGUGUGGCUGGCAUUGUCUGUCAUUGUGCCUGUGGCUGCUCUAAGUGAAGGCCGUGCUCGAGCGUCCACUUUGUCCUGUUGUCACUUGACUCCUCUAAUGCUGUGACUUGUAAUGGUGCUGCUAGAACAGACAUUAUGAAAACCCAACUGGACAGUCCACACUAAAUUGGUGUGGUUUAGGAAGCCAUGGCAGUGCCCUUUAGUAGGGCAACUGAGAUACGAUGAACACCCUGCCAGUAUGAGAUGCACAACACGUAUUUAGAUGGGACGCACUUGAUGUCCAUUCUAGUUUGGUGGAUUCGGACAUCGGUGGAUGUCAGAUCUUGAGAGUAACUCGACAGCAGUUGGGCCUUCAUCUGAUUUACACAUACGGUGGGUUGAAGACUUCAGUCGCCAUCUGCCUUUUCAGUUUGGUUGUACGGCACACAAGAUCUCGGAGAACGUAAAAGGCCUCUUCUCUAGGUUGUCUACACAAUGGCUGAAGCUUCACUACAGCAUUUUUCAUUUGACUGCAGCUCUAAUCGAGUGUCUUGUAUUUUCUGUCGUUUCUCGGUGUUCUUCCUGCUGCCCGGUGUGUGGUGUUUGUUGUUGGCUGCUGUGAAUUUCAUUGAGCUCUGUGGUCAGGAUGUUGUUGCCCUCCUCGGUUGACGUGUACCCUUUAAUUUGAUUGUCCUGUUUGUUGGACUCGUUAGCACAAAGGCAGACUCCACUAUCUCCUCUCACCUGAUUAUGGUAUGUCUUGACGUAUAGGGUGACGUCUCUUGUGUGGCCAGAAGUGCUCAACUCCCAUGAGCCAGGAAGGCACCACUAAUUCUUUGUUUACUGUAUAUAGCGCUCUUCUCGUGGUGCUGAGUGCUUCAGCCGCCAGUAAUGCGUACCACCCAGUUGGAUGAUGUGAUGGCAGCCAUUUUUGCACCAGUACUCUCCUCACAUUAGCUGUUAGGUGGCCAAGUAUGAGAUAAAGCCUCAGUAAAUCUUGUUUUCUAACACAUGGAGUCCUAGGCUUGGCAUGACCAGGGCAGGGCUGGGCACAGCCACUCCAGAUGAAGUCCUCUUCGAGACGUGAGCACAGCAGGUAUUGCUUGUGUGUGUUUGUAGUUUGUUUGGACUCUUGGACCCUUCCAUCUCUUGCCUUUCUUAGAAUGUGCAGCCUGAACUUUGAAUUUCUACCUGGAAGCUCCUUUAAAGCAGCCUGUCAGUGGGUUUGGUUUUGGAGUUCACUGGGGUCCUGCUUUCUCAGCUGCUGUCCAGUCUUCCAUGGCUCCUUCUAGUUACCAAUCCACCCCCCUUACACAGCUCACUUAAGUUCAGAGGUAACCCCAGCAGAAUUCUGUCCAGAGCCCCAUGGGUCAGUCCCAGGUGAGAUCCCACCAGAUGUGACGGGCAGCCAUGUACUCCAGUGGGUGGGUUCAAGCUGGAGAGCUGCUUUUGUAUGUGCGGCCCCCCCAGGUGGUUCAGUUCAACACACACACACACACACACCAUGCAUGGCUUCUAAAGCUGGCUCUGACCCUUUUGAGAUUUCUCUUCCAGGUUCACGUGACCCUACCAGGAUUUUCACACCACACUUCACUGCAAUACAAAGGUUUCUGGUGGUGAACUGAAAAGGAGACACCCCCCCCCCCCUUUUAAAUUCUCAAAGGGUGACAUUUGUAAGGUGAUAAACUGGCCUGCAAGUGUGUGUGUAAAAGGAGCCGCAGGUCUUUAGUGUCUACACCUCCGUUUUAACUGUCGAGGGUCUGCACUCCCCGCCUGUGAAAGCGAAGGCUUGACCUUCCUUUUUGACGUCUUGUCAGAUGUUCUGAGUGUGGCCCCUGAAACUUUCCUCUUAGGGGGUGUCACACUGUGCUCGGCUGCUUGAGCAUAAAGGGCACCUGGAUGUGACCUGCCUGCUGUCCUGCAGUCUUAGUGAAAACUCUACGGUAAGAGCUGGCAGUCGGACAUUUAGCAACACACACUCUCUUCCCCUUUGUCUUUUUUUGUAGAGGUGCUCCACGUUUUAUUUCCCAUUGCAGUGAUUGACUGUUUCUCCAUUUUUUCAGUGAAUAACUUGAAGAGUGAAGCAGACUGUGAGCCCCCCAAGAAAAGGAAGAUCUGGUGAAUGCCAGGCCUGGCUGCAGAGACCCCGAAGGCAGUUCUGGGGUCCCAACAAAGGUGUGCCACACUUGGAGCAACAGUCUGAGUAACUGGGACCACUGAAUAAGGAGCUGUGAAGACUUGAAGCAGAUAGCCAAAAUAAAGCGAGUCCCGUCCUCCAUGACGUGGCCACCAAUGAAUGAGGACUACAAGACUGGAAAUGAAGAAAAGCAGCCGCAUAGCUGAAGGACCCUCUGAGCCUGCACCGUCUCUCCUGUGCUGAUACUUUUUUCUGAUUCAUGAAGGGUGCUGUUGUGGUCUUUUAUUCCACACUUGGCAAGACUGUGACCUGGUGACUAGUGAAAUGGCUUGAGUUUUACAAAAAGCCCUCAAGUUUGAUUGGAAGAGCACUGUGUACACUUGAGACCCCAAACUCAGUUUGAUUUAUUCCUUAUCUGUUUGUCCCCAUAUUAUGUAAUCCGACUUCUGCUUUGUUAACCAAGUCAUGAGAGAGGAUUCUGUUAUCUGGGCCUGUAAAUGCAGCAAAUUCUUGUUGUUGUUGGGUUUUUGUUUUUUAUUAAAUGUAACCUCCCCUUUUGCUGUAAUUUUGAAAUGAGAACCAAAAUAUUAAACCUCUGAAGUAUC